rnacentral:tRNA from 1 species
UGUUCUGUGGCUUAGUUGGUUAAAGUGACGGUUUAGCUAAUAUGGAGUCGUGAGUUCAAAUCCCACCAGAUCGA